AAGAAAUUGGUGGUCUCGAGGAAAAGUUGGUUCCUUUUGGUGUGGAAGAGGGUUUGAUGUUGCUGAAGGCGUCAUUUGAAUGCAAGAAUGUGCUUACCACUGUGUUUAUG